CAGAUGAAAAUUCGUGCACAGUUCAUCCAAUUUGUACACAGUUAAUUCAAAGACCAAUCUACCCUCAACGACAAUUCCCCAAUCUUCGUCACACACAGUCACCUCCACCAACAGCAACAAAAACAAGAAGAAGAACAGUGUAAUAAUCAGAUAUCAAUUAAAUUUCGUAAUUCCUUUUCCAAUAAAAUAAAAUAUUAAAGUGGAAAAAGGUGGAAUAAAGAAGAAGAGGGAGAUACUUUCUGUUUCUUGAAUCAGUCAGAGCUCUCCAACAAAUCAACCCUCACCUUCCCCCAGUUGCAUUCCACUUAAUUUAAAACGGAGACUUUUCAAUUUCCACUAGCUUUGAACUUUUAAAAACUUGAAAUACAAAAAGAGAUCCAAACAUUCUUCAGGGAAAUCAAGCCAUCAAUUCAGAAGAUGAGCACCGGGGUUUAAUUACUUACCAAAUAUAAACCACUCCACGAAAUCUGGCGCACAGAAUGGAGAAAAAAGGCGAUUGAUUGGUACAGCAAAAUGAGAAAUAAAGGAAGAUUAACAGUAUCACAGUACAAUCAAUUAGGAGAGAGAGAGGAUAAUGAAAUCUAAUAAGAAAUAGAGGGACUCGUCGCCGCUGGGAGCCUUCUUCGUCGCCGUCGUUCGCUGGAGUCUUCUUCACCGCCGACGCCGUUCGCUGGAGUCGCCGUCGCUUCGCUUUUCGCUGGAGUCGUCGUUGCCUUCGCUGUUCGCCGGAAGCCGUCGCUGGAAGCCGCAGGGAGUAGUGGUCGCAGGAAGCCGCCGCGUCGCCGGUGGUGGAUGUGAGGAAGAAGAAGAAGAGCACGAGAAUUUGAAAUGAAGAAGAAACCGUUCAGUUCAUGUUUUAAUUAGCGCUCUUUUUUCUUUUCUUUUUUUAAUUGUUAAUGCAAAUUUCAGUUUUUUUAAUUGUUAAGUCAAAUUCCAGAUUUUUAUUUUGUUGUAUU
rnacentral:lncRNA from 1 species